GGAGGACAGGCAAAGUGCGGGUAGUGGGUUGAGUAGAGGAUGAAAGAAUGGAGAGAAGAGAAGAAAGGUCUGGAGGUGGAAGGGGAGAGGGAUCAGCGGGAUCUGGAGGAGUGCGGUGGGUAAGGGUCGAGAGGGCAGAGAGCAGGGACGAGAGAUCAGUGGAUGGAGACGGUUGAGCGGGCGUCUCUGGGGAGGGGCCAGUCGGGGUGGAG